CGGAGGCAGCAGUGAGGAAUAUUGGUCAAUGGACGCAAGUCUGAACCAGCCAUGCCGCGUGCAGGAUGAAUGCCCUCUGGGUUGUAAACUGCUUUUAUCAGGGAAUAAACCUUUCUACGUGUAGAAAGCUGAAGGUACUUGAUGAAUAAGCACCGGCUAACUCCGUGCCAGCAGCCGCGGUAAUACGGAGGGUGCAAGCGUUAUCCGGAAUCAUUGGGUUUAAAGGGUCCGCAGGCGGAUUUAUAAGUCAGUGGUGAAAUCUCUCGGCUCAACCGAGAAACUGCCAUUGAUACUGUAAGUCUUGAAUUCGGUCGAAGUGGGCGGAAUAUGACAUGUAGCGGUGAAAUGCAUAGAUAUGUCAUAGAACACCGAUAGCGAAGGCAGCUCACUAGGCCUGGAUUGACGCUCAGGGACGAAAGCGUGGGGAGCAAACAGGAUUAGAAACCCCAGUAGUCCC
rnacentral:rRNA from 1 species